GACGAACGCUGGCGGUGUGCUUAACACAUGCCAGUCGAACGGUAAGGCCCUUUCGGGGGUACACGAGUGGCGAACGGGUGAGUAACACGUGAGUAACCUGCCCUCAUCUCUGGGAUAACAGUCGGAAACGGUUGCUAAUACUGGAUAUGAGCUUGCAAGGCAUCUUGUGGGUUGGAAAGAUUUUUUUUGGUUGGGGAUGGACUCGCGGCCUAUCAGCUUGUUGGUGAGGUAGUGGCUCACCAAGGCUUCGACGGGUAGCCGGCCUGAGAGGGCGACCGGCCACAUUGGGACUGAGAUACGGCCCAAACUCCUACGGGAGGCAGCAGUGGGGAAUAUUGCACAAUGGACGGAAGUCUGAUGCAGCAACGCCGCGUGCGGGAUGACGGCCUUCGGGUUGUAAACCGCUUUCAAUUGUGACGAAGCGUUUUUGUGACGGUAGCAGUAGAAGAAGCACCGGCUAACUACGUG
rnacentral:rRNA from 1 species